CAGAACCCCAUAGAACCCCAUAAGAUCCCAUCAGACCCCACCAGAACCCCAUAGAACCCCAUAAGAUCCCAUCAGACCCCACCAGAACCCCAUAAGACCCCACCAGAACCCCAUAAGAUCCCAUAGGAUCCCAUCAGACCCCACCAGAACCCCAUAAGAUCCCAUCAGACCCCACCAGAUCCCAUCAGACCCCACCAGAACCCCAUAAGACCCCCACCAGAACCCCAUAAGAUCCCACCAGACCCCACCAGAACCCCACCAGAUCCCAUAAGAUCCCAUCAGACCCCACCAGAACCCCAUAGAACCCCAUAGGAUCCCAUCAGACCCCUCCGAACCCCAUAGAACCCCAUAAGAUCCCAUCAGACCCCACCAGAACCCCAUAAGACCCUACCAGAACCCCAUAAGACCCCAUCAGACCCCACCAGAACCCCAUAAGACCCCACCAGAACCCCAUAAGAUCCCAUCAGACCCCUCCAGAACCCCAUAGAACCCCACCAGAACCUCAUAAGACCCCACCAGAACCCCAUAAGAUCCCAUCAGAUCCCACCAGAACCCCACCAGAUCCCAUAAGACCCCACCAGACCCCACCAGAACGCCAUAGAACCCCAUCAGACCCCACCAGAUCCCAUCAGACCCCAUCAGAACCCCAUAAGAUCCCAUCAGACCCCUCCAGAACCCCAUAGAACCCCAUAAGAUCCCAUCAGACCCCACCAGAACCCCAUAGAACCCCACCAGAACCCCAUAAGACCCCACCAGAACCCCAUAGAACCCCAUAAUAUCCCAUCAGACCCCUUCAGAACCCCAUAGAACCCCAUAAGAUCCCAUCAAACCCCACCAGAACCCCAUCAGACCCCACCAGGCCCCACAAGAUCCCAUAAGACCCCACCAGACCCCACCAGAACCCCAUAAGACCCCAUAAGACCCCACCAGAACCCCAUAGAACCCCACCAGAACCCCAUAAGACCACACCAGAACCCCAUAAGAUCCCAUAGGUUCCCAUCAGACCCCACCAGAACCCCAUAAGAUCCCAACAGACCCCACCAGAACCCCACCAGAUCCCAUAAGAUCCCAUAAGACCCCACCAGAACCCCAUCAGACCCCACCAGGCCCCACAAGAUCCCAUAAGACCCCACCAGACCCCACCAGAACCCCAUAAGACCCCAUAAGACCCCACCAGAACCCCAUAGAACCCCACCAGAACCCCAUAAGACCACACCAGAACCCCAUAAGAUCCCAUAGGUUCCCAUCAGACCCCACCAGAACCCCAUAAGAUCCCAUAAGACCCCACCAGACCCCACCAGAACCCCAUAAGACCCCAUAAGACCCCACCAGAACCCCAUAGAACCCCACCAGAACCCCAUAAGAUCCCAUCAGACCCCACCAGAACCCCAUAAGAUCCCAUAGGUUCCCAUCAGACCCCACCAGAACCCCAUAAGAUCCCAUCAGACCCCACCAGAACCCCAUAAGACCCCACCAGAACCCCAUAAGACCCCAUCAGACCCCUCCAGAACCCCAUAGAACCCCACCAGAACCUCAUAAGACCCCACCAGAACCCCAUAAGAUCCCAUAGGAUCCCACCAGACCCCACCAGAACCCCAUAAGACCCCACCAGACCCCACCAGAACCCCAUAAGAUCCCAUCAGACCCCACCAGGCCCCACAAGAUCCCAUAUGAUCCCAUAAGAUCCCACCAGACCCCACCAGAACCCCAUAAGACCCCACCAGGCCCCACAAGAUCCCAUCAGACCCCAUAAGAUCCCAUCAGACCCCACCAGAACCCCAUAGAACACCAUAGAACCCCAUAAGACCCCACCAGAACCCCAUAAGAUCCCAUAGGAUCCCACCAGAACCCCAUAAGACCCCAUAAGACCCCCCCCAGAACCCCACAAAGAACUCCCCCAUCCACCAAAGCUCUGGAAAAGCAUCGCUUUAUUGGGACAGCCGGGGGGGGGGGGGGGUCCCAAAAGGAUCCCAUAAGGGGUCCCAGAAGGAUCCCAUAAGGGGUCCCAGAAGGAUCCCAUAAGGGGUCCCAUAGGGGUCCCACGGGGGGUCCCAUAUGGGGGGGGGGGGGGGGGGGGUCCCGGUUUUGGGGUCACUCCCCCUCUUUGUCCUCCCCGUGGGUGAUGACGUAGCAGAUGUUCUUAUAGUCCACGUUGCCCGCCACGUCGGGGGGGAAGGCGGCCCACAU
ensembl:lncRNA